GAUAAACAUAAUUUCAAGACAAAGCAAUGUGGGAUCAAUAAAGUCUAAAUUCCAAAUUAAUGAGAACCUGAAUCAAGACCACGGACCAGGGCAAUGGAAAUAGAGCUUAAUUGAAAGCUGAGGCAAUAUAACAAGACAAAGUGAUUGGGUGAAAGACCCAAACUGGAACGAUGAGAGGAAGACGUGACCCGGUAAGAACGUGAAAUGAACAUGGCAAGAACAAGACAAUGUGAGACAGAACAAGAUCAAGGUAUGGCCAAGUUAAGCUCAAGGCUGAGGCAAUGGCAAACAGAUUCAGAAGUAAUGUAAAGGCGAGUCCAGACCAAGACCAGGGCGAGGAAAAAGCCAACGUGAGGGCCAACGCAAAAUUUGUACCACCACAGAACUGUAAUUAUCAUUUACCACCAUGCGCUAGCCAGCAGGACAUGCCAUGCCGCCAUCCUGUCCUGUGCACGAGGGAUGCUGCCCUCUAGUCAGCCCACCGUCAGACGGCCGAUUAAACGUUAACAAAGACGACAUUAGAAAGCAAAUGGACGACAGCUGGUGCAAUCUUAGCACAGCGGAACAGCAGCGGAGAUGUCAGACAGUUAUUCGGAGUCACUGCCAAGAGCCACAAUAUGCUUGCUAAAAUUGCACUUGCAUGGUCAAUUUGCUUCUUUGUCCCGGAAAACCUGGCAAAGGCCCUCAAAGACUUCGUAUGACAUAGUUCUUCGAAAUGCGUACACGGGACAAAAGGUUUGCCUUAGCUUUUGGAUGAAAAGCACUGCAUGACUUCUGAAACUUUGGUUUUUUUUUAUGUUGGAAUGAAUUGAAAUUUCAUAAGGUUCGCCUCGGAAUAGACGUGUGUGUUCUUCUGAAACACACUCGUAAUCACCUUGAACAUCUUCCGAGAUCCAAGUGUUUCAACAAGCCAGGGGCGAAUCAAACAUUCAAGCCUUACGAAAAAAAACGAAAAAAAAAAACUGAAAGAUGUUGAAUAUGCAGCUUGAUCAAGUUGUUAGUCAGUCUUCGUAGGAGGAAGCUCAAAGUCAUUCAUGCUCAUGGAGAAAGUGGAUGAAAAUGUCACACCUUUAAAUCGGAUGCUUAAAGAAAUUCUUUUUUUUUGGGCCUUGGCUUAUUUUGUUGGCCGUUGGCGCAUUUGAAACUAUUUUUAUUUAUGUUAUGAACAUUUUAAGGACCGGAUCGCGGUAACGUGGACACAUGCCAACAGCUACACACAGAGUCCAUGACGGUCUUUAGUGGCUUGGUGACUCUUCCAGGAGACCAACGGUCGUCCGACGAGACGGCAGCUUGGCACCGGAGUGGUAGCUGAAUGCUGAAUCAGAAUCUGGCCAUCCAUCAUGGUAUGCAACUCGGCGGAAGAGUCCAAACUAUGAAGGAUAGCAAGACUG